rfam:Ciona savignyi cont_49838, whole genome shotgun sequence.
CCCGGUGCGCGCAAGGGUCGCCGCCCGGUCGAGGAGAGAUGCGCGCCGCACCUGCCCCGUUCGCGGGGCCGGGGAAGCCGUUCGAGCAGCGUCGUGUCGCGGUCCGGGACUGUCCUCAGUCCCGGGUCGUCUCGGCGCGGUUCCGAGCGGUCGCUCCCUCGCGAGGUGCCGCGGGUCAGCGGCUGACGCCAGCCACCUUCCCGACCCGUCUUGAAACACGGACCAAGGAGUCUAACAUGUGCGCGAGCCGCGGGGCAGUACGAAACCCGUAAGGCGAAAUGAAGGUGAACGCCGGCGCGGUCCGGCGGAGGUUGGAUCCCGUCCCGUCGGGGCGGGCGCACUACCGGCCGAUCUUCUCCGCCCUGUCGGCGAGGUCGAGCGAGAGCGUGCAAGUCGGGACCCGAAAGAUGGUGAACUAUGCCUGAGGAGGUUGAAGCCAGAGGAAACUCUGGUGGAGGACCGUAGCGAAUUCUGACGUGCAAAUCGAUCGUCAAAUUUGGGUAUAGGGGCGAAAGACUAAUCGAACCGUCUAGUAGCUGGUUCCCUUCGAAGUUUCCCUCAGGAUGUGUGGCGCUCUGUCGCAGUUUUAUCUGGUAAAGCGAAUGAUUAGAGGUCUUGGGGGCGAAACGCCCUCAACCUAUUCUCAAACUUUAAAUUGGUAAGAAGCCCGACUCGCUCGUUUGGAGCCGGGCAUGGAAUGCGAGUGCCAAGUGGGCCACUCUUGGUAAGCAGGACUGGCGAUGCGGGAUGAACCGAACGCCGGGUUAAGGCGCCCGACGCGACGCCCAUCAGAGCCCACAAAAGGUGUUGGUUGAUAUAGACAGCAGGACGGUGGCCAUGGAAGUCGGAAACCGCUAAGGAGUGUGUAACAACUCACCUGCCGAAUCAAUCAGCCCUGAAAAUGGAUGGCGCUGGAGCGUCGGGCCUAUACCCGGCCGUCGCGGCGGUACGAGCAUCGAGUUGGUGCGCUAGGCCGCGACGAGUAAGAAGGCCGCGGCGGCGGGCGUAUAAGCCUAAGGCGCGAGCCCGGGUGGAGCAGCCGUCGGUGCAGAUCUUGGUGGUAGUAGCAAAUAUUCAAAUGAGAACUUUGAAAGCCGAAGUGGAGAAAAGGUUCCAUGUGAACAGCAGUUGAACAUUGGGUCAGUCGACCCUAAAGGAUAGGCGAAAGCCGUUCUGAAGCGGAGGUGAUGUUUCGCGUCGCCCCGGCGGACCGAAAGGGGAAUCGGGUUAAUAUUCCCGAACCU